UCUGACUGGCCGCUCUUGGCUAGGUCAACUUCUAAACAUGUACAUCAUUACCUGCAUCAUAAGAACCUAAUGAGCUAAUAGCACAGCAAGUUGAAACUGAUGUAAUAACAAUCUAUCACAUAACACGUUAUUCAUUCAAUAUGUACAAUAUCACAUAUAACUUCAUUCAUGAUCCUUUUCUUUGAAAUCCUUCUCUUUAUCGGGUACCCUUAAAGUGUGGUACUUGACUGAUCGCAAUAGGCUUUCGUUUGCGGAACCUGUUCAUUAUAUUUGCCCAAUAGAUAAUACGGGGUUUCCAUACCGGCCUUUUGACCUCAGAUAUUAGCCGUAUUUUAUUUCAUUAAUUGUGGGUUUUCCAUACUGGUCUUUCGACCUCAGGUAUUUGCCACCAUGUGUUGGGUCCGCCGGUCCCUCCCGCGUCCCUUGCCUACCCGACCAUCAAUCAAGCACCAUACUCCCAUUUUCAAAACAUGUUAUUUCAUAUCACUAUGACUCAUCAAUCAUUCAAACAUCAUGAAGAACACGUAGCAAAAGUCACAUUAAAGCACACAUAAUUGGUUCUUAUGAUGAGCAAAUGAAAGCUUCAACUUACCUCAAGUUCAAUAGGGUGUAUAAAGUGAAAGGAUCAGAGGUGUGCUAGAAGCCUUGAUUAGAGAUGAACUCAAACUUCAAAACGUAGGAUUUUCAGCUAGAAAAGGUGCAGAACUUGUUCUAGCUCUACUUCUAUGAGUUCUUAUGAUUUGAUGUUCUCUUAUGUGAGUAUGGAAGUGAAGAAAUAUGAAGAGAAGCUUAAGGAAAU
rnacentral:lncRNA from 1 species